GACAAACGCGUAUCAUCACGGAAGUAUUUUUUUGUACUGUAGUGGGCUAGUGAUCAGCGUCCGUCCAAACCUCCCUCGUGCUGCAGUAUAGAGAGAAACAAAAUUGUUAGAGGAAAGAGUGGUAGAAAGAAACAAAUUAGAGGUGAGCUACAAAAAUUGAAGUACGGACACUACUAAACUAACUAAUCCAACAUCAAGAAAAAAAUUGGAGUAGUUAGUACCAACUACUAAACUAAUGUACUGGAUGUUGAACUUAUAAAUUGUAUAUUGGCGAACUUUUACACUUGACGAAAGUAAUCAACAUGAACUUUUCUCUCUCGAAGUUACAACAUGUAUUCCUAGACGAUAAUAUCUGAACAUCAGGGAAACAAAUGUUUGAACGUCUGAGACAGUAGUGUGUGUACUUGUCGAUGAAAACAUAAAGCAUGCUAAAAUAUUUCAGGAAACAUGCUAAAAUAUUUUAGGAAACAUGCUAAAAUUGGGCCUGUUUAGUGAUCAAAAAAAUAUUUAGAGAUUACUUUUCGAAAUCUCAAGCGAGCAACGAUUGAACAUACGUAUAGAUACAAGGAUGAGAUGACGAAAGCUGAACUUUAGGAGAUGUCGAAGAAGAACAACCAACGACGGUGGUCAAAUAAUUUUGAAGAUGGACUGUUGCUGUAUGUUUGCAUCUAUAACGAGACUUGGAAUGUUUUUUUCCUGUAAACCUAUAACGAGACACAAGUCACUGGUCAGAUGUAUGUACUGUAUGUAUCGAUUUCACUCGAUGUAACACAACUCCAAAUGUUUGAACUAAUGAUGAUGAGCAGUCGAGCUACGCUUGCUGGCCAUUGUGAUGGGGUAUGUUAGUAUGUGUUUUUUUUCAAGCAGACAAAAAUGAUGAAACUAAACACACUUUGUUUUCUUUUUGCUUUUGAUAAGAUGAACUAAAAAACUUUCAAAGAUGAACUGAAAGGUUUUGAACCUCCAGGAAGCCUCUUGGGAAACUUGACAGCCAUAGACUGCUAGUCGCGAUGAACUCGACCACCCUGAUGCCAUGGGGUUGGACUGAGGAUGGCACACAUGCACCCUUGAUGACGGCAGAGACCGUGGGAGACUACAACUACCAGCACUACAAAAGCACAUAUCGACUCUGUAGGCAGAGACUACAACACACACACCCAUUCCUCAAUUGCAAAUUUGCAAUACAUAUUUACAUACUACAUCAAGGUGAUAUCUCUGUACUUACAAACUUUAUGGAAGGUGAACUCAUGAUUUUUCUUUCUGAACUUUGUUUCUUUUUUCUCUGGACUGAUACAAACUUCCACCAUGUACUGGUGUGAUUUUAUUUUCAAACAACACAAGAGAAGAGCUUUAUUUACAUCAUCGAUACAUGUCCAACCAUUUCAUUUCUAGAAAGCAAGCAAACAUCUUUGUCCUAUUUAUAUAACCCAACCCUUUUUCUAUAAGUGAAGCACAUAAUAGAGCAAAAACUAGAAGUUGGAUCGUGAAUAGUAUUAGAAGUUUAGUGCCCACAUAAGAAGAAAUAGCAAAUACGAGUAUGGAGCAGCAGCAAUACAGAUAUGUAAAAGUUCUAGAAUUUGAUAAAAAAAUGAAGUAGCUUGAUCUGGUUAGUACUACCAUAACUAGAUACAUGUAAAAGUUAACUGACACAAAGUUCAAAAGAAAUUCAGAAAAUGAAACCGAAUUGAUGGGCUUACUUCAUGCAUUAAAUUCUACACCAUAGCGUCUUGUCUGGAUGUACACGACGGAGCUGGCGGGCUGCACAUCGAGCCACACUGCACAAAGAAGUAGUGUCGAAUGAUUCAGUCUCGGCGGGCUGGGAGCAUGCCAUUGCUGCAUUCAAAAAAAUUCACCAUUGGUUUCUGAACAAUAAGUACAAGAAUCACCAAAAGUUGGACUGAAGCUCUAGGAAUUUUAGCUCCAAGAACAAAUGCGUUUAAGUUCAGAGAUGAAACAUAGUUAAACGUUCUUCAGUGUCAUGAGUUAGUACAUGUGGAAGAUCAUUUCAUUUUCUAUCUCUCUCUAUCUCACUCACAUCACCCUGCAACAGCAGCAGCGCACCAAUGAGUACGCACAACCAGUAGCUAAGCAAGAAGCAGGCCUUCAGG
rnacentral:lncRNA from 1 species